UACGUGAGGGUGCGAGCGUUGUCCGGAAUUAUUGGGGCGUAAAGAGCUCGUAGGCGGUUUGUCGCGUCGACUGUGAAAACCUACAGCUUAACUGUGGGCUUGCAGUCGAUACGGGCAGACUUGAGUUCGGUAGGGGAGACUGGAAUUCCUGGUGUAGCGGUGAAAUGCGCAGAUAUCAGGAGGAACACCGGUGGCGAAGGCGGGUCUCUGGGCCGAUACUGACGCUGAGGAGCGAAAGCGUGGGGAGCAAACAGG
rnacentral:rRNA from 1 species